rnacentral:rRNA from 1 species
AAAACUUUCAACAACGGAUCUCUUGGUUCUGGCAUCGAUGAAGAACGCAGCGAAAUGCGAUAAGUAAUGUGAAUUGCAGAAUUCAGUGAAUCAUCGAAUCUUUGAACGCAACUUGCGCCCCCCGGUAUCCCGGCGGGCAUGCCUGUUCGAGCGUCAUC